AGUGAACGCUGGCGGUAGGCCUAACACAUGCAAGUCGAACGGCAGCACAGUAAGAGCUUGCUCUUACGGGUGGCGAGUGGCGGACGGGUGAGGAAUACAUCGGAAUCUACUUUUUCGUGGGGGAUAACGUAGGGAAACUUACGCUAAUACCGCAUACGACCUACGGGUGAAAGCAGGGGAUCUUCGGACCUUGCGCGAUUGAAUGAGCCGAUGUCGGAUUAGCUAGUUGGCGGGGUAAAGGCCCACCAAGGCGACGAUCCGUAGCUGGUCUGAGAGGAUGAUCAGCCAAACUGGAACUGAGAAACGGUCCAGACUCCAAGGGGAGGCAGAAGUGGGGAAUAUUGGAAAAUGGGCGCAAGCCUGAUCCAGCCAUACCGCGGGGGUGAAGAAGGCCUUCGGGUGGUAAAGCCCUUUUGUUGGGAAAGAAAAGCAGCAGGUUAAUACCCCGCUGUUCUGACGGUACCCAAAGAAUAAGCACCGGCGAACUUCGU
rnacentral:rRNA from 1 species